GAGUUUGAUCAUGGCUCAGAACGAACGCUGGCGGCAUGCCUAACACAUGCAAGUCGAACGCGUGUAGCAAUACACGAGUGGCGCACGGGUGAGUAACGCGUGGGAACCUGCCCAGUGGUAGGGAAUAACUGCGGGAAACUGCAGCUAAUACCCUAUACGCCCUACGGGGGAAAGUUUUUCGCCAUUGGAGGGGCCCGCGUCGGAUUAGCUAGUUGGUGAGGUAAGAGCUUACCAAGGCGACGAUCCGUAGCUGGUCUGAGAGGAUGAUCAGCCACACUGGGACUGAGACACGGCCCAGACUCCUACGGGAGGCAGCAGUGGGGAAUAUUGGACAAUGGGGGCAACCCUGAUCCAGCAAUGCCGCGUGAGUGAUGAAGGCCUUAGGGUUGUAAAGCUCUUUCGGCGGGGACGAUGAUGACGGUACCCGCAGAAGAAGCCCCGGCUAA
rnacentral:rRNA from 1 species